rnacentral:rRNA from 1 species
UACGUAGGGCGCAAGGCGUUAUCCGGAAUUAUUGGGCGUAAAGGAGCUCGUAGGUGGCGUGUCGCGUCUGCCGUGGAAAGCCCACUGGGCUUAACCCGUGGGUCUGCGGUGGAUACGGGCAGGCUGGAGGCUGGUAGGGGCAAGCGGAAUUCCUGGUGUAGCGGUGAAAUGCGCAGAUAUCAGGAGGAACACCGGUGGCGAAGGCGGUUCUCUGGGCCUUACCUGACGCUGAGGAGCGAAAGCGUGGGGAGCAAACAGG